rnacentral:rRNA from 1 species
GACGAACGCUGGCGGCGUGCUUAACACAUGCAAGUCGAACGGAAAGGCCCUGCUUUUGUGGGGUGCUCGAGUGGCGAACGGGUGAGUAACACGUGAGUAACCUGCCCUUGACUUUGGGAUAACUUCAGGAAACUGGGGCUAAUACCGGAUAGGAGCUCCUGCUGCAUGGUGGGGGUUGGAAAGUUUCGGCGGUUGGGGAUGGACUCGCGGCUUAUCAGCUUGUUGGUGGGGUAGUGGCUUACCAAGGCUUUGACGGGUAGCCGGCCUGGGAGGGUGACCGGGCAAAGUUGGGGUGGACAACGGCCCGAGCCUCCGGGGGGGGGGAGGAGGGGGAAAGUGGGAAAAGGGGGGGGAGGCCGUAGCCCACAACCCCGGGGGGGGGAGAGGGGCCUGGGGUUGUAAACCGCUUUGCACCGGGAAGGAGGGGGAGGGGAGGGAAGGGGGAAAAAAGCCCCGGCUAAACUAGGGC